rnacentral:pre_miRNA from 1 species
UAUAUACUCCCUCCGUCCGGAACUACUUGUUAUUAAAAUAGAUGAAAAUGGAUGUAUCUACAACUAAAAUAUUCAAUGACAAGUAUUUUUGGACGGAGGGAGUAAAAG